rnacentral:misc_RNA from 1 species
CGACCAUUAAGCCCUGUUGCUUAGCGUUGGGAGCCUGCUGGCCUGGCCUGCAGCUCCUCAAAGUUAGUGGCGGAGUUAGUGCAUACUCUAGGCGUAGUAAUUAUCAUCUCGCUUUUGUAGUUGUGCUAGCGCCUGCCGUAAAACACCCCAAUUUUAACU